AUUCCAGCUCCAAUAGCGUAUAUUAAAGUUGUUGCAGUUAAAAAGCUCGUAGUUGAACCUUGGGCCUGGCCGAUCUGUCUUCCUAACCGUUGUACGGAGUCGGUCGGGCCUUUCCUUCUGGGGAACCUCAUGCCCUUUAUUGGGCGUGCUGGGGAACCAGGACUUUUACCUUGAAAAAAUUAGAGUGUUCAAAGCAGGCCUUUGCUCGAAUACAUUAGCAUGGAAUAAUGGAAUAGGACAGCAGUUCUAUUUUGUUGGUUUCUAGGACCGCUGUAAUGAUUAAUAGGGAUAGUCGGGGGCGUCAGUAUUCAAUUGUCAGAGGUGAAAUUCUUGGAUUUAUUGAAGACUAACUAUUGCGAAAGCAUUCGCCAAGGAUGUUUUCAUUG
rnacentral:rRNA from 1 species